rnacentral:lncRNA from 1 species
AUGGGAUGAAGGGAUCAAGCCUGGAAGGUACGGGUUCUACCUCACAUUCUCCAGAAAGGUGAUGUAUGAUGAAGACAGAAACAAUAAAUACAUCAAUAAAACACAAUAGGAAUCCUGUAACAGAGCCCAUAGAAACCAAAGAUUACUUUGUGAUAGAGGAGACAUUGUAAAUUACAGAGGGACUUGUGAACCACUGGAUAAGAAUGUUCAUUUCCUAUGUGGAAAAACUUAUCAAUGCCUCUACUUCACACCAAAAAUAAACUCCACUGGCUUAAUGACCUAAAUGUGAAACUGUUUUUUUAUGACAAAGAGAUAAGAAAGGAUUUCUUUAAGGGUAUUAAAACCAGAAAUCGUUAAACAAAAUGUUAAAAUUUAAAACCAGAAAAUAAAGUAACCUGUAUAUCAUAAAAAUUUAUGUUCAAGACAUAUAAAGUUCCUUAAGUCAACUCUUUAAAAGGAGAGAGAGCCCAAUAGGAAAAAAAAGUCUAUAAAGCCCAGGGCAGUGAUUCACACAAAAACAUUAGACAUCCAAGAUUCACAUGAAAGUGAGUCUGGGUCUUACCAACAAGCUAGGUUAUUAUUUAAUUUAAACAAGUAAAUCCAAUUGCACAUUUUAGACUUGGUAAAAAUAGAAAAUUGUGACAAAAGAAAGUACUAUUAAAAAAUGUAGGGGAACAGGAAUUUGACCACUAGGCAGAAGUUUCUGAAGAACAUGUUUUCGCAAAAUCUAGUAAAACUGUAAAUACUUAGUGACUGAACUCUCCACUUCUGGGACCUCCUAGAGAAAUUCUCAAAUGUGUUUUAUAAGCAGUGCUUAUAGAAAUCAAGAAUAGAUGGAGACUGGAACUCCCACAAAUCCCUGUGAGGGAACAAACAGGUAUGGAGAUCCAUAUGAUGGGAUGCUAUGUGGUCACCAGAAUGCAUGAAUCGACUGCACGUGUCAAUACAGCCAGACCUUGAACAGCCAAUGUUAAAGGAGGUCUUUGUCAAUUUGAAGUGGCAGGCAUAUAAAUUCUUUAUGGCUUUCCCCCUUCCAAGGGUGGGGGAGUAGAAGGAUAACUAAGCCAUUAAGAGCACUAGCUACUCUUGCAGAAGGCUGGGGUUUAGUUCCUAGCACCACAUGGUGGCUCACAACCAUCUGAAAUUUGUGUUCCAGGGAUUCUGGCAUCCUCUUGUGGCCUCCAAAGGACCAGGCACACAACAGGUGCAAAAACAUACAUGCAGACAAAAUAUUCAAACAAAUAAAAGUAAAUUUUAAAACACUCUAAAGCAGAGCUGAGGUUCUUCUGUGUCCUCUUUCCUUCCAGCGACUGCUUCUGCCUAACUUCUCUUCAGGGAGGUUUCCACAGAUUACAGAAGUACCUUUUUAGUACCCAGGGCACAUUCCAUCCUGUCUCGAAGUCCCUUUCUUCAGCUUCUUCUAGAACUUCUGGUGAACAAGGGUGCUAAGAGCAAAGCACUUCUAAGAUUCAACCACUCAAACUCUGAAACAAAUGUUGGAGGGCUACUCCAUCCGCAUGGCCGCAACCCAACAUGGCAUUUACCUCAAAAGACCCAGUGACUGCUCCCAAAAGCAGUGUGGACGGAUUGUGGGAAGACACAGCAUGAUGGAGCUCCUGAAGUAAGAAGAUACAAGUUACGAUCUAAGCUGAAAGGCUGGUCAGGAAGGAAAGGGAAGACUGUGGCCAGGAAUCAAAAAACCUAGACAAAGAGUUGCAUGGUGGCAAACAGACUUAUAUGGGCCUGGGCUAUAGACCAGAGAGCUCACAAAAGGUGGUAAAGGACAGACCUUCCCAGUGCCCAGCCUUUUCCUGUGCUUCCCAUUGGCUGAAAUCGAAGGAAAGCCAGAAACUUGGCAUCAUGGGAUGUCAUCUGACAAAGGGAAGAAUGGCUCUGGCAUGAGGAUGGGGAAAAGGAAAGUAAGCAACCAAAUAAUUAAAGGAAUUAGAGGAAUCUAAGUUGUGAAGUUAGUGAGCAAGAGACACACAGCUUUGUUUGGAAGAACAGGAGAGACCUGAAGCAGGGACACUGUUAAGGAAAUGGAAACUAAAGGGGAAGAAUAUGGCUUGGAAUCUGGGCUCUUGCUCACUCUUGAGUAAGACUCCUGAGCCAAAUGUGAAGGAGAGAAAGAAGGGACAAAGGGAGUCAUGGUGGAACAAUACCAGUAAAGGGCUAAAAAACUCCCAUGUGUUCCUCCGAAUGGGAGUCGUAGGUAGCCAUGGUUUCAGAGCGCACAGCUGUGGGAAGAAGCUAGAAGCUGAUGAGAAGCAGGCGGGGAAGACAAGCUCUGUGGGUGAGACUUAGCAUCAGCAGGAUCCUGCUGCAAGGACCACCCUCUAGCCGGAGGCUGCCUGGGACCCCACAAGGAGAGCCUGUGCCCCUAACCAGGCUCCAGGCUGUUGGGAGAUGCCUCUGAACUGAGACCCCCAAGCUGUUUGCCUCCCUUGGUGGCCCUUCAGCAGACAAAGCCCUCAUUAAGAUUUCUUUCAGCUUCUGUCUUCUUGGAACACCUGAGACAAGAGAAUGAUGAAUGGCAGCCUGGAGAUCAGCCUGGAGCCACACCUUGCCCUUUGAGUAGCCUCUCCCAUGACAAUCAACACUUUUCUAGAGCCUGGUAAGGUGUGAGAGUUUAGAAUGUCCAUAGGUUAGCUAUGGUAGAGACCUGGAAGACAGGCGUCCGGACUCUUUUUGGCUGUGACAUUUAUGUGGCAACAGUAGUCUUAACCUAGGACGUUUGAGUAAGGGAAGUGUUAGGCAAACCUCAGAGCAUUGGCCACUGGAAACUUGUCCUGGAAACUGCUCUGUCUAGUUUAGCCUUUUCCUUUUAGAGUUGAGGAUAGGCUCUUUGAGGUUUUCCUAGAUAUGCUCCCUAGGAAAACUCAGUAGGGGAGAGCCUGUGCAAGAACCAAGAUCCCUGCUUCUAUAGCCAAUGCUCAUUCUACUACAGGGGCAUGACUGUCCGUUAUUCUGCUGAGUGGCUUCUGCAUGUGCACUUCCACCUGGUAUAAGGUAUUUAUACCAUUUAGUCUCCCGGAUCUCCUGACUGCUGACUUCCACA